rnacentral:rRNA from 1 species
UACGGAGGGUGCAAGCGUUAAUCGGAAUUACUGGGCGUAAAGAGUGCGUAGGUGGUUGGAUAAGUUAUGUGUGAAAUCCCUGGGCUUAACCUGGGCAGGUCAUAUAAUACUGUUCGACUCGAGUGUGGGAGAGGGUAGUGGAAUUUCCGGUGUAGCGGUGAAAUGCGUAGAGAUCGGAAGGAACACCAGUGGCGAAGGCGGCUACCUGGCCUAACACUGACACUGAGGCACGAAAGCGUGGGGAGCAAACAGG